GCGGGUGUAAUUCAGUGGUAGAAUGUCAGCUUCCCAAGCUGAUUGCGUGGGUUCGAUUCCCAUCACCCGCU
rnacentral:tRNA from 1 species